AUUGAACGCUGGCGGCAGGCCUAACACAUGCAAGUCGGGCGAGUGGCGGACGGGUGAGUAAUGUAUGGGGAACUGCCUGAUGGCAGGGGAUAAAUACUGGAAACGGUAGCUAAUACCGCAUACCAUCAGAUGAUCCCAGAGGGGAUUAGCUUGUAGGUGAGGUAACGGCCCACCCAGGCGACGGUCCCUAGCUGGUCUGAGAGGAUGAUCGGCCAACAUGGGAAUGAGACACGGCCCAGACUCCCAAGGGAGGCAGGAGUGGGGAAUAUUGCACCAGGGGCGCAAGGUUGAAGCAGCCAUGCCGCGUGUAUGAAGAAGGCCUUCGGGUUGUAAAGUAUUUUCGGUAGCGAGGCGUUAACUACAGAAGAAGGCCCGGCUAACUCCGUGCCAGCAGCCGCGGUAAUAC
rnacentral:rRNA from 1 species